UGCAAUUUAGUUUAUAAAGAACAAUUAACUUGCACUUAAUCAGUGAUUAUUCAAUUGCAU
rnacentral:tRNA from 1 species